rnacentral:rRNA from 1 species
AUUGAACGCUGGCGGCAUGCCUUACACAUGCAAGUCGAACGGUAACAGGUUAAGCUGACGAGUGGCGAACGGGUGAGUAAUGUAUCGGAACGUGCCCAGUCGUGGGUGAUAACUGCUCGAAAGAGCAGCUAAUACCGCAUACGACCUGAGGGUGAAAGCGGGGGAUCGCAAGACCUCGCGCGAUUGGAGCGGCCGAUAUCAGACUAGGUAGUUGGUGAGGUAAAGGCUCACCAAGCCGACGAUCUGUAGCUGGUCUGAGAGGACGACCAGCCACACUGGGACUGAGACACGGCCCAGACUCCUACGGGAGGCAGCAGUGGGGAAUUUUGGACAAUGGGCGCAAGCCUGAUCCAGCCAUGCCGCGUGCGGGAAGAAGGCCUUCGGGUUGUAAACCGCUUUUGUCAGGGAAGAAAAGGUUCUGGCUAAUACCUGGGACUCAUGACGGUACCUGAAGAAUAAGCACCGGCUAACUACGUG